rnacentral:rRNA from 1 species
GCAGCCAUGCCGCGUGUGUGAAGAAGGCCUUCGGGUUGUAAAGCACUUUCAGUCGUGAGGAAGGUNGUGUAGUUAAUAGCUGCAUUAUUUGACGUUAGCGACAGAAGAAGCACCGGCUAACUCCGUGCCAGCAGCCGCGGUAAUACGGAGGGUGCGAGCGUUAAUCGGAAUUACUGGGCGUAAAGCGCAUGCAGGUGGUUAGUUAAGUCAGAUGUGAAAGCCCGGGGCUCAACCUCGGAACUGCAUUUGAAACUGGCUGACUAGAGUACUGUAGAGGGGGGUAGAAUUUCAGGUGUAGCGGUGAAAUGCGUAGAGAUCUGAAGGAAUACCGGUGGCGAAGGCGGCCCCCUGGACAGAUACUGACACUCAGAUGCGAAAGCGUGGGGAGCAAACAGGAUUAGAUACCCUGGUAGUCCACGCCGUAAACGAUGUCUACUUGGAGGUUGUGGCCUUGAGCCGUGGCUUUCGGAGCUAACGCGUUAAGUAGACCGCCUGGGGAGUACGGUCGCAAGAUUAAAACUCAAAUGAAUUGACGGGGGCCCGCACAAGCGGUGGAGCAUGUGGUUUAAUUCGAUGCAACGCGAAGAACCUUACCUACUCUUGACAUCCAGAGAACUUA